UACAGAGGUCUCAAGCGUUGUUCGGAUUCAUUGGGCGUAAAGGGAGCGUAGGCGGACAUUUAAGUCAGAGGUGAAAUCCCGGAGCUUAACUUCGGAACUGCCUUUGAUACUGAGAAGCUUGAGUCCGGGAGAGGUGAGUGGAACUGCGAGUGUAGAGGUGAAAUUCGUAGAUAUUCGCAAGAACACCAGUGGCGAAGGCGGCUCACUGGCCCGGUACUGACGCUGAGGUGGCGAAAGCGUGGGGAGCAAACAGG
rnacentral:rRNA from 1 species